AUAUUUCCACGGAGCUAAUACUCCCAUCGGAAACAAUAUUACAGAAGGAAGCAAUUCAUCUGUCCUACUAGCUAGAACUUUGCUCACAACAAUAUGGAUGGAGAGAAGCAAGAGGGAAAGCGGUAGGAAGAAAGGAGGUGUACUUGCCAUUUUUGUGAAUGAAAACUUGUGCGACCCUGGACACAUUACAAUUAAAUCACAGACCGUUCAUGGGAAAUUCUGCCUGACCCCAGUGACAUCACUUCCGGUUCUAGACCCUUGGAUGAUGUCUCUUCCGGUGAAGAACCCAUGACCGAAGAGACUUCCUGUUUCUGCCCUUUUGAUGAUGUCACGUCCGGGUCUAAACCUAUGGAAGAGGACUCUUCCGCUUCCACCCUCGAUGACUUCACUUCCUUUUCUGGCCUUUUAAGUUGCCACAUUUGACUACUCUAGUCAGUUCUGUUUAGGACUCUAUUCUGAGCACAUCAGUGCUAGCAAUUUACCCAUUUGAAGACAGGGAAUGUUAUACAGGUG